AGCAGCCGCGGUAAUUCCAGCUCCAAUAGCGUAUAUUAAAGUUGUUGCAGUUAAUAAGCUCGUAGUUGAAUUUCGGGGUCAGUAGGUCGGUCGUGCCACUGGUAUGAACUGGUUUUACUGAUUCCUCCCUCUUGAAGAACUGUAAUGCCAUUAAUUUGGUGUUGCAGGGAAUCAGGACUGUUACUUUGAAAAAAUUAGAGUGUUUAAAGCAGGCUUUAGCUUGAAUACAUUAGCAUGGAAUAAUGAAAUAGGACGUUUGAUCCUAUUUUGUUGGUUUCUAGGAUUGACGUAAUGAUUAAUAGGGAUAGUUGGGGGCAUUAGUAUUCAAUUGUCAGAGGUGAAAUUCUUGGAUUUAUUGAAGACUAACUACUGCGAAAGCAUUUGCCAAGGAUGUUUUCAUUAAUCAAGAACGAAAGUUAGGGGAUCGAAGACGAUCAGAUACCGUCGUAGUCUUAACCAUAAACUAUGCCGACUAGGGAUCGGAUGAUGUUAAUUUUUUAAUGACUCA
rnacentral:rRNA from 1 species